rnacentral:tRNA from 2 species
GAAUCUGUAGCCUAGUUGUUGAAGGCAGCACUCUAGUAUGUGUCUCAGCAUUUCUGAGGUCGUGAGUUUGAAUCUCACCAGACACA